CAGUAGCCACGGGAAAACGUAGGUGGCAAGCGUUGUCCGGAAUUAUUGGGCGUAAAGCGCGCGCAGGCGGAUCAGUUAGUCUGUCUUAAAAGUUCGGGGCUUAACCCCGUGAUGGGAUGGAAACUGCUGAUCUAGAGUAUCGAAGAGGAAAGUGGAAUUCCUAGUGUAGCGGUGAAAUGCGUAGAUAUUAGGAAGAACACCAGUGGCGAAGGCGACUUUCUGGACGAAAACUGACGCUGAGGCGCGAAAGCCAGGGGAGCGAACGGGAUUAGAUACCCCGUAGUCCCUGUCUCUUAUACAC
rnacentral:rRNA from 1 species